rnacentral:rRNA from 1 species
UACAUGGGGUGCAAACGUUGCUCGGAAUUAUUGGGCGUAAAGCGCGCGUAGGCGGUUAUCUAAGUCGGAUGUGAAAGCCCUCGGCUUAACUGAGGAAGUGCACCCGAAACUGGAUAGCUAGAGUACGAAAGAGGGUCGCGGAAUUCCCGGUGUAGAGGUGAAAUGCGCAGAUAUCGGGAGGAACACCAAUGGCGAAGGCAGCUCGCUGGGACGGUACUGACGCUGAGGCGCGAAAGCGUGGGGAGCAAACAGG